UUACACCGAGGAAAGAAACAAACUUUUUUGACAAAAGAGUAUGCAACUACCAAAAAGUGUAGUGUAUAGUAGAAGUAUAUUCUUUUCAGUAAAACAUCCAAUGUCUCGCCUCGCCACAUUACGUUAAUUUUCAUUUGUAAGUAUUAUUUUCUAGUUAUAUUGAUUGUAUGUGUCAAUAAUAUGGAGUCAGUCUAAUUUGAUAAUUUGUCCACAAAUAUAGAUUUCCAAAAAAUCAAUGAAAUAGAAGGAAAUAAUGGCUAAAAAUCUUCGAAUUAAAUGAUUAUCCAAAUUUCUACCUGGCAAAGAAUCCACAGUAAUCAUUUCACAAUAAUUACCGGUUGUAAACAAUGCUCAGUAAAUUAGUAAACAUGGUCAGAGGCUGUCUCAAAACAUAAUCCAAACCACUUGUCUAUAAUAGAGAAGUAUAAUAAAUGUUAGGGAUUCACGGCAACAUUGGUACUACUCUGAGCACGACUAGUAAAUCGCAUCUAAGGGAAAAUUUUGUUUCUUCAACGAUGUGUUAGAAGAAAAUGAACAGACUAAUAAAGGAUUUGGAGUAUAGUUAAUGAUUUUAAGUCACCCAGAAAAGCCUUAGAUACCCAAUAAUGUCUAAUUCACACACACUUAUCUCAUACAAUG